rnacentral:rRNA from 1 species
UUCGCAAUGCCCGAAAGGGUGACGAAGCGACGCCGCGUGGGUGAAGAAGGCCUUCGGGUUGUAAAGCCCUGUCAGGAGUUAUGAAAUGUAGGUGCGAUAGUACCGUGCCUAUUUGACAAAGGCUCCAAAGGAAGCCACGGCUAACUCUGUGCCAGCAGCCGCGGUAAUACAGAGGUGGCAAGCGUUGUUCGGAAUUAUUGGGCGUAAAGAGCACGUAGGUGGGUUUGUAAGUCAGAUGUGAAAGCCUUCUGUUCAACGGAAGAAUUGCAUCUGAAACUGCGAGUCUUGAGUGUAGGAGGGGAGAAUGGAACUUCUGGUGGAGCGGUGAAAUGCGUAGAUAUCAGAAGGAACGCCGGCGGCGAAAGCGAUUCUCUGGCCUAUUACUGACACUGAGUGUGCGAAAGCUAGGGGAGCAAACGGGAUUAGAUACCCCGGUAGUCCUAGCCGUAAACGAUGGGCACUAAGUAGAGGGGUUUU